rnacentral:rRNA from 1 species
GAUGAACGCUGGCGGCGUGCCUAAUACAUGCAAGUCGAGCGGUAAGGCCUCUUCGGAGGUACACGAGCGGCGGACGGCUGAGUAACGCGUAGGAACAUACCCCAAAGUGAGGGAUAACUGCUCGAAAGAGUAGCUAAUACCGCAUGUGAUCUAAGGAUUAAAGCUUCGGCGCUUUGGGAAUGGCCUGCGUAUGAUUAGUUUGUUGGUGAGGUAAUGGCUCACCAAGACUACGAUCAUUAGCUGGUCUGAGAGGAUGAUCAGCCAGACUGGGACUGAGACACGGCCCAGACUCCUACGGGAGGCAGCAGUAGGAAUUUUCCACAUGGCGAAAGCCUGAUGGAGCAACGCCGCGUGCAGGAUGAAGGCCCUCGGGUCGUAAACUGCUUUUAUUAUGUGAAGAUUAUGACGGUAGCAUAUGAAUAAGGAUCGGCUAACUCCGUGCC